rnacentral:rRNA from 1 species
GACGAACGCCGGCGGCGUGCCUAAUACAUGCAAGUCGAACGCACGAAGUUGAAGAGCUUGCUCUAUAACCAAGUGAGUGGCGGACGGGUGAGUAACACGUGGGUAACCUGCCCAUUAGAGGGGGAUAACAUUCGGAAACGGAUGCUAAUACCGCAUAGUUUCAGGGAUCGCAUGAUUCUUGAAGGAAAGGUGGCUCCGGCUACCACUAAUGGAUGGACCCGCGGCGUAUUAGCUAGUUGGUGAGGUAAUGGCUCACCAAGGCAAUGAUACGUAGCCGACCUGAGAGGGUGAUCGGCCACACUGGGACUGAGACACGGCCCAGACUCCUACGGGAGGCAGCAGUAGGGAAUCUUCCGCAAUGGACGAAAGUCUGACGGAGCAACGCCGCGUGAGUGAAGAAGGUUUUCGGAUCGUAAAACUCUGUUGUUAAAGAAGAACAAGGAUGAGAGUAACUGCUCAUCCCCUGACGGUAUUUAACCAGAAAGCCACGGCUAACUACGUGCCAGCAGCCGCGGUAAUACGUAGGUGGCAAGCGUUGUCCGGAUUUAUUGGGCGUAAAGCGAGCGCAGGCGGUUCUUUAAGUCUGAUGUGAAAGCCCCCGGCUCAACCGGGGAGGGUCAUUGGAAACUGGAGAACUUGAGUGCAGAAGAGGAGAGUGGAAUUCCACGUGUAGCGGUGAAAUGCGUAGAUAUGUGGAGGAACACCAGUGGCGAAGGCGACUCUCUGGUCUGUAACUGACGCUGAGGCUCGAAAGCGUGGGGAGCAAACAGG